AUGUCCCGUUUGAAGUUAUUUACUCGUCAAAACCUAUUGUUUGGUUCCGACAGUAAAACCUUUUCAUCCCAUCUUGCCAACAACCUAUCGGUAAAGCUCUUUGUCCGAUGGUAAGAUUGUUCCUGCAUAAGCCCAUUCAUUAGCAAUCUCGACCGCAAGAUGAGCCUCCUUGGUACUAAGAGUCAUUCGGGAACAAAAUGGAAUUCUUGUCCUACCUCAUAAUUGGAUCAGCCCGAAGAAUUCUUAUAAGGUCAUAGUUUUUGCUGCGCUGCUGGCUAACCCCUAACAAUUAUAAGAUUUCUACAAGCCCAUUAUGAGUUGGAUACUCUUAAUAUAAUUUAGUUAUGCUAUUAGGAAAAACUCCGAAUGACUAAGGAAGAAAUCCAGCUGCAUAAGACUCUAUAGAGUCUUUUUUUUUUUUUUGAUAGCUAAGCUUUGCGUGGGAUUCUUACACAGGUUAAUUUGUCAGAAGCUGAAUGUAUUGUAGUCUGUCUGAUCAAUUUUUCUUAGCAGUUUCUGGUUUAAAGUUUAAUCUUUGAUGGGCAUUCCUAAGUAUUGUUACUGAGUAGUGUUUGUUUGAGCAGGGUGAUAGGUAAACUUGCCUAAUCAGAGAAAAGAUUUGCUUGAUUGAUUGCCAGGAUUGUAGUUAAGGAAUCACAUUCCACAAAAAGCUUGCUACUGCCCUCCAUAAUGGAAUUUUUUUGUUAUGGCCAAAACAAUAGCUCCAUUUGAAUCACUAAGAACAGAGGCUGCCACAGCAAAAGAAAGGCGAAUUACAAUAUCAAAGUUGACCUUAACUGCACGGUGCACCUGAGGGUGAUGGGGGUUGCCAGCAAUUAUUUUCCUGAUGAGAAUUUUUCCAAGCAGAAAUGUGCGAUCUAACUGUGUUAGAUAUAAGCUUCAGUGUAUUAUGGAUGUCAGUGGUAAUAUUCUUGUGUAUCAAUUGAUUCCUUGCAAAUCAGAUUUGAUCUAGGAUGACAACUGCAGUGAUUUGGAAUUCAAAAAUGUUUCGGUGGGGAAGGGCCAGAUGUGAUUGAGGUCUUAGGAUGGCUUUGAUCCCUGAUUAGAUAAAAGAAAAAAAAUAAUUAUUUAAUAAAAAAAUAAUGAUCAAAAUUUUAAGAAUUAAUAGUCAAUUGGGGUGCAGUACCAUAAAUUGAUUAGAUUCGAGUACUAGGAGCAGGAUGAUAGUACAUGCCACUCUUCCAGGAAUUUGGUACACAAAAGAGGUAGUACACGGCCAACUUGUUCAACUAAAAUUUGGUGUACUACUUCAGAUGUACAAAUGUACGACAACACCCUUCUUGUGUUUGUGGGCAUUAUAUAUAUAUAUGGAACAAACAAAUUGACAGCAUACUCAAAAACAGAGAAGCCCUUUGAAUGGUGAAAAGAAGGUUGAGGCAAUCUUAUCGGGUGGGAGAUUUUUAUAGUUCGACAGCUAGCUGCGAUGGUGACAAAUACGAGGUAAGGGUAAAUAUGGGGGGAGAAAGAGAGGAACAGCAAAGGGACAAACAUAGACAGGGAACGGGCAGAGCAUGGAUGGAGCUAUCGACAGUAUAGGAACCUGUCGUGGCUCUACUCAUGCACUGCCUCUUCCCUGGCUGUGCCUCU
rnacentral:precursor_RNA from 1 species